GGUGCUGCAUGGCUGUCGUCAGCUCGUGUCGUGAGAUGUUGGGUUAAGUCCCGCAACGAGCGCAACCCCCGUCCUUAGUUGCUACCAUUUAGUUGAGCACUCUAAGGAGACUGCCGGUGAUAAGCCGCGAGGAAGGUGGGGAUGACGUCAAGUCCUCAUGGCCCUUACGGGCUGGGCUACACACGUGCUACAAUGGCGGUGACAGUGGGAAGCUAAGGGGUGACCCCUAGCAAAUCUCAAAAAAC
rnacentral:rRNA from 1 species